CAGUCGCCACGGUAAUACGUAGGGUGCAAGCGUUAAUCGGAAUUACUGGGCGUAAAGCGUGCGCAGGCGGUUAUAUAAGACAGAUGUGAAAUCCCCGGGCUCAACCUGGGAACUGCAUUUGUGACUGUAUAGCUAGAGUACGGCAGAGGGGGAUGGAAUUCCGCGUGUAGCAGUGAAAUGCGUAGAUAUGCGGAGGAACACCGAUGUCGAAGGCAAUCCCCUGGGCCUGUACUGACGCUCAUGCACGAAAGCGUGGGGAGCAAACAGGAUUAGAUACCCCAGUAGUCCCUGUCUCUUAUAC
rnacentral:rRNA from 1 species